rnacentral:lncRNA from 1 species
CCUUUUCUCUACAGGUUGACCGGAGCAAAACACCAAAUCGUAACUCGCCCUGGAGGAGCCGCAGCACCUGAGAGCUUCGCCGCUAGUAAGUCUCAGUUUUCUAAAAUUUUUUGGCCCACCGAGGGCCCUAGGGGUGUGUUAUCACAGGAACCAAUGCAAGUUUGGCUGAAUUCGGCCGAAAAUGGCAAACCCGAGGUGGAUUGCCGCCGUGGGCAUCGGAGCCAUCGCCGAAGCACGGCAGAGCCGCCGUGCCAGAAUUCUGAAUUUGGCCGAAAGGGCCCUAGGUCUGAUUUGGAGUUUUUUGGGGACA